GUCUUAUGUGUCAUCAUAGGCACGGAUCCAGAGCAACGAUUUAGAGUGGGAGGGCACCAACGGUUUUUCUACAACAAAUACAAUUACAAUGUCUAUGGUUUUAAUUAUAGCACCAUUACAGUUAAAUCAAUAUAUAUAUUUGUAUUAGUCCAGGACCAACUUUGAUAGCGACGUGGCGCACUUGUGGUGUCAACAAUUAACA